GAAAGAUGGUUCUGCUAUCACUCUUGGAUGGACCUGCGGUGCAUUAGCUAGUUGGUAAGGUAACGGCUUACCAAGGCAAUGAUGCAUAGCCGAGUUGAGAGACUGAUCGGCCACAUUGGGACUGAGACACGGCCCAAACUCCUACGGGAGGCAGCAGUAGGGAAUCUUCCACAAUGGACGAAAGUCUGAUGGAGCAACGCCGCGUGAGUGAAGAAGGGUUUCGGCUCGUAAAGCUCUGUUGGUAGUGAAGAAAGAUAGAGGUAGUAACUGGCCUUUAUUUGACGGUAAUUACUUAGAAAGUCACGGCUAACUACGUGCCAGCAGCCGCGGUAAUACGUAGGUGGCAAGCGUUGUCCGGAUUUAUUGGGCGUAAAGCGAGUGCAGGCGGUUCAAUAAGUCUGAUGUGAAAGCCUUCGGCUCAACCGGAGAAUUGCAUCAGAAACUGUUGAACUUGAGUGCAGAAGAGGAGAGUGGAACUCCAUGCGUAGCGGUGGAAUGCGUAGAUAUAUGGAAGAACACCAGUGGCGAAGGCGGCUCUCUGGUCUGCAACUGACGCUGAGGCUCGAAAGCAUGGGUAGCGAACAGGAUUAGAUACCCUGGUAGUCCAUGCCGUAAACGAUGAGUGCUAAGUGUUGGGAGGUUUCCGCCUCUCA
rnacentral:rRNA from 1 species